rnacentral:rRNA from 1 species
UGACCGCUGGCGGCGUGCCUAAUACAUGCAAGUCGAGCGAACAGACGAGGAGCUUGCUCCUUUGACGUUAGCGGCGGACGGGUGAGUAACACGUAGGUAACCUACCUAUAAGACUGGGAUAACUUCGGGAAACCGGAGCUAAUACCGGAUAAUAUUUCGAACCGCAUGGUUCGAUAGUGAAAGAUGGCUUUGCUAUCACUUAUAGAUGGACCUGCGCCGUAUUAGCUAGUUGGUAAGGUAACGGCUUACCAAGGCAACGAUACGUAGCCGACCUGAGAGGGUGAUCGGCCACACUGGAACUGAGACACGGUCCAGACUCCUACGGGAGGCAGCAGUAGGGAAUCUUCCGCAAUGGGCGAAAGCCUGACGGAGCAACGCCGCGUGAGUGAUGAAGGUCUUCGGAUCGUAAAACUCUGUUAUUAGGGAAGAACAAACGUGUAAGUAACUGUGCACGUCUUGACGGUACCUAAUCAGAAAGCCACGGCUAACUACGUG